GACGAACGCUGGCGGCGUGCCUAAUACAUGCAAGUAGAACGCAGUUGCGAACGGGUGAGUAACGCGUAGGUAACUGCCUCAUUGCGGGGGAUAACUAUUGGAAACGAUAGCUAAUACCGCAUACUGUGAGAUGGACCUGCGUUGUAUUAGCUAGUUGGGGGGGUAAAGGCUCACCAAGGCGACGAUACAUACCCGACCUGAGAGGGUGAUCGGCCACACAGGGACUGAGACACAGCCCAGACUCCUACGGGAGGCAGCAGAGGGGAAUAUAUGGCAAUGGACGGAAGACUGACCGGGAGACGCGCCGUGAGUGAAGAGGGUUUUCGGAUGGUAAAGAUCAGUUGUUGGAGAAGCGGUAACUAACCGAAAAAGGACGGCUAAAUACGUGCCAGCAGCCGCGGUAAUAC
rnacentral:rRNA from 1 species